rnacentral:rRNA from 1 species
AGUGAACGCUGGCGGUAGGCCUAACACAUGCAAGUCGAACGGCAGCACAGUAAGAGCUUGCUCUUACGGGUGGCGAGUGGCGGACGGGUGAGGAAUACAUCGGAAUCUACUUUUUCGUGGGGGCUAACGUAGGGAAACUUACGCUAAUACCGCAUACGACCUACGGGUGAAAUCAGCGGAUCUUCGGACCUUGCGCGAUUGAAUGAGCCGAUGUCGGAUUAGCUAGUUGGCGGGGUAAAGGCCCACCAAGGCGACGAUCCGUAGCUGGUCUGAGAGGAUGAUCAGCCACACUGGAACUGAGACACGGUCCAGACUCCUACGGGAGGCAGCAGUGGGGAAUAUUGGACAAUGGGCGCAAGCCUGAUCCAGCCAUACCGCGUGGGUGAAGAAGGCCUUCGGGUUGUAAAGCCCUUUUGUUGGGAAAGAAAAGCAGCAGGUUAAUACCCCGCUGUUCUGACGGUACCCAAAGAAUAAGCACCGGCUAACUUCGUG